AGGGUUUGAUCCUGGCUCAGAAUCAACGCUGGCGGCAUGCCUUACACAUGCAAGUCGAACGCGAAAGUAACCUUCGGGUUGCGAGUAGAGUGGCAAACGGGUGAGUAACACGUGGGUGACCUACCUUCGAGUGGGGGAUAACGUUUUGAAAGAGACGCUAAUACCCCAUAAUAUCCUGCCUUUGGAAAGGUGGAGAUCAAAGCUGGGGAUCGUAAGACCUGGCGCUUAAAGAGGGGCCCGCGCUCGAUUAGCUAGUUGGUAGGGUAACGGCCUACCAAGGCAUCGAUCGAUAGCCGGCCUGAGAGGGCGGACGGCCACACUGGGACUGAGACACGGCCCAGACUCCUACGGGAGGCAGCAGUGAGGAAUUGUUCGCAAUGGGCGAAAGCCUGACGACGCAAUGCCGCGUGGAGGAUGAAGGUCUUCGGAUCGUAAACUCCUUUCGAUCGGGACGAAUACCCUUAACCUAAUACGUUAAGGCU
rnacentral:rRNA from 1 species